rnacentral:rRNA from 1 species
UACGUAGGGUGCAAGCGUUGUCCGGAAUUAUUGGGCGUAAAGAGCGUGUAGGCGGCCAGGUAGGUCUGCUGUGAAAACUCGAGGCUUAACCUCGAGCUGUCGGCGGAAACCAUCUGGCUAGAGUCCGGAAGAGGGGAAUGGAAUUCCCGGUGUAGCGGUGAAAUGCGCAGAUAUCGGGAAGAACACCCGUGGCGAAGGCGGUUCUCUGGGACGGUACUGACGCUGGAGACGCGAAAGCGUGGGGAGCGAACAGG